rnacentral:rRNA from 1 species
GACGAACGCUGGCGGCGUGCCUAAUACAUGCAAGUAGAACGCAGUUGCGAACGGGUGAGUAACGCGUAGGUAACUGCCUCAUAGCGGGGGAUAACUAUUGGAAACGAUAGCUAAUACCGCAUACUGUGAGAUGGACCUGCGUUGUAUUAGCUAGUUGGUGGGGUAAAGGCUCACCAAGGCGACGAUACAUAGCCGACCUGAGAGGGAGAUCGGGCAAACUGGGACUGAGGAAAGGGCCAAAAUCCUAAGGGGGGCAGCAGUAGGGAAACUUCGGAAAAUGACGGAAGGCUGGCCGCGGAACGGCGGGGUGUAGAAGGAGGGUUUCGGAGCGUAAAGCUCUGUUGUGAGAGAAGCGGUACCUAACCAGGAAGGGACGGCUAACUACGUGCCAGCAGCCGCGGUAAUUC